CCUACGGGAGGCAGCAGUAGGGAAUAUUGCUCAAUGGGGGAAACCCUGAAGCAGCAACGCCGCGUGGAGGAUGACGGUCCUAGGAUUGUAAACUCUUUUUGUUAGAGAAGAUUAUGAUGGCACCUAACGAAUAAUCACCGGCCAAUUCCGUUCCGGCAGCCGCGGUUAUACGCAGGGUGCAAGCUUUACUCGGAAUGACUGGGCGUAAAGAGUGCGUAGGGGGGGUAAUAAGUCAGAUGUGAAAUCCUGUGGCUUAACUACAGAACUGCAUUUGAAACUGUUACUCUGGAGUGUGGGAGAGGUAGGUGGAAUUCUUGGUGUAGGGGUAAAAUGCGUAGAGAUCAAGAGGAAUACUCAUUGCGAAGGCGGCCUGCUGGAACAUUACUGACGCUGAUGCACGAAAGCGUGGGGAGCAAACAGGAUUAGAUACCCGAGUAGUC
rnacentral:rRNA from 1 species